CACUUUAGAUUGUGGGUGCAGAAAGCUUUGUAAGUUAUUUAUAACUUAAUCUACAGAACAUAGAUACAAAUAUUAACAUCACUUAUUAAUCAUCUAUGAACACAUAGUCAUGUUUUGUGAAUGAUUAGUUUACCAGUAGCUAAUUACUUUUAUUACAUGGCUCUGUGGGUACUUGAUUCUGAUUGGUCAGUUUCGACAUUCCGAUGUAUGUUAUCCCUGGAUAACAACCUGUAAAAUGUAAUAACACAGGCUCAUCCGGGUAACAGCAGUUGGCGCUGUACUCUUGCUUGAACUAUUUUUUUCUUGGUGGAAGCUGUGCAUUUGUUUAGCUAAUAAAAUAUAAAAUCUUUAUUCAAAGUUGUGUACAAUUGUUUAAUUAUGUCAUCCUGGUUAGGGUUGGCCUGAUUGAAGAUUCCAUCGUCCAUCGCCGAUGGCUGAUAGACAUCACGAUGCUGCGCCGGACACAGCGUCAUCAGCUCCAGUAUCUCGCCCGUGCAUCUGUUGUCAUGCGACAGAUAAGUCAUGUUCUAUAGACAGUUUCUAUAGACAGUUGUGAACGUGCUGACAGUUGGUUGCCUAGGCUAUGGAUUAAAGGUAAUACUGUUGGCCAGCAGAGCCCUGCUCACCCUGACGGCCCACCGCUGCUGUCAGACAACAUCUCCAAGAUGCUAGAAACUGCAGGACUAGAUGUCAAUACCAAGGUUUCUAGAGAUUACACCAGCUCCAAACUGAAUCCAAACUCACUUGUGAUGACUUCAGAUGACACCAACGCUCACAAAGACUACAGACAACAACUGUACAUGAACACACAAAACAUUGGACACACAAAAUAAAUAUUAUCCUUAUUUUGCCUAUAAGGGUAAAUUUGAUUAUUUUCAACCUGCUUUACUGUAACUUCUCUUAUAUCUGUAAAUGAACAAUAUUUACUGAGUUAUGUGGACCUACAUGUCCCCUUUUAUUUGUAAGCAUCACUCUGCAGGAUGAUGCAAAAUGAAAUGACGAGUUUUGACGAAAUGACACAAUGCAGCAUCUAAAUGAAAACAUGCUGUUUUCUAUCAGUUUUGCAAAUAAACGGUAUCUU